UUGGCGGCACACAUACUAAAAUUGGAAUGAUACAGAGAAGAUUAGGAUGGCCUCUGUGCAAGGAUUACAUGCAUAUUUGUGAAGCAUUCCAUGUUUUU
rnacentral:snRNA from 1 species